UCGGGUUUACAACUAUGCUCAAUUUACACCAGCUAGCCUGCACCCUCACCGUUGCUUCACAACCAUACUUGGGCGUCCAUCAUAUGUCUGAGCUGUGCUUUAAUUAUUAUUUUUUUCAGUUCAAGUGUAUCUUUCUUGCUUGGCUUGAUUAGUAUCUACUUCAUUACUGAAUGCUUUUUUUACAGGGUUGCGUCGCCACAGGGGACUUGUGCGCUUGUAGGCGUUUGGUGAGGGGCGUCACCAAUCACCAUGAGCCCCGAGCCCAGCGUGGGUUCAGACCCCCUGCAUGCCUGGCAGUGCUAGGUCUCAAUUGGGGUCUUGGCAGUUGAGCUAAUCCCGGCCAAGGUUUCCUUCAAGGGCCCCCCGGGUUAGGCAACACACCACCCGAGCCCCACCUUUGCAGAGACAGGUGUCCUGUGUUAGUUCGCCGAGGACGAUUCGUCGCUGGUUGAUGUCGUCCCGUGGUAAUUUCUGGCCUUUCGAACGAUCCAGUCACAAUUCCAGCACCGCCGCGCCUCACAAGAGCGAAGAAAGCAUGCGCAGGAGUACACCAUGGUCAUCGAGGCAGAGGUACAUGCUUCCUCAUGCUCAGAAGCUUGUGGCAAUCUGGGGAUUCUACUUGAUUUUGUUAGCUGAACUCAGCGCUGGAAGAUCAUUAUUGGAUUUGUCCUCCCAAAAAGUGUGUGAAACAGAAGCCUGCAAAAAAAGAG